rnacentral:rRNA from 1 species
GUGCCAGCAGCCGCGGUAAGACGAGCAUCACAAACGUUAUUCGGAAUUACUGGGCUUAAAGGGUGCGUAGGCGGUGCAGCAAGUCGGGAGUGAAAUCCCACAGCUCAACUGUGGAAUUGCUUUCGAUACUGCUGUGCUUGAGUGAGAUAGAGGUAAGCGGAACUUAGGGUGGAGCGGUGAAAUGCGUUGAUAUCCUAAGGAACACCGGUGGCGAAGGCGGCUUACUGGGUCUCUACUGACGCUGAUGCACGAAAGCCAGGGUAGCGAACGGGAUUAGAAACCCUGGUAGUCC